rnacentral:rRNA from 1 species
AUGUAUGUGGAUCCAAAUGAUGAGGUUGAGCAUGAGAAUAUUGAGCAAGAGUUUGAGGAUGAGAUAGAGAAAGAAGAGGAAGAGGAAAACUAUUCCAAGAAGCAUCAAUAUCGUGAUCUUUGCUUGACUAAUCCAAAUGUUCGUGGUCAAGAUCCCGAUGUGGACCGGAGGUUUUGGAAUCAUACUCAACACAAAAAUUAUGAACUAGUAAUGUUGCCUAAGAAGCACAAGAUUUCCCCUCACAAUGUCGUUGAUGUUGAGUACAUUCGCAAUAAACCCAACAAGGAUCCAGAUGUGUACCCUACCCAACGUAUGGGGCUCCUCGAAUUCUUGACCUUUGAUUAUGGAUAUAGUGAGGAGCUUGUCUUCUAA